GCAGGAAGGAAGGAGCAAGCGGGGGGGCGGCCGGAGCCGGAGCCGGAGCCGAUGGAGGCGGCCGAGGGGCAGGCGGAGGGGGCCGGGCCGGCCUCCUUCCUCGACAAAUUCCAAACCCAGCGCUACACAGGGGGCUUCAACCCGGAGAGCUGGGAGCAGGAAUUUGACAAGAUCCCCAUGUUUAUGAAGAAAUCCCCUGCUGAAAUUGAUCCUGAACAGAAUCCUGAUUUGGCAUGCCUUCAGUCAAUCAUUUUUGAUGAGGAUCGAUCUCCUGAAGACCAAGCAAACACCUAUAAGAAUGAGGGGAAUGAAUACUUCAAGGAAAAGAACUACAAGAAAGCUGUAAUCUCAUAUACUGAAGGGUUAAAAAAGAAAUGCAGUGACCAAGAUUUGAAUGCUGUGCUUUAUACUAACCGAGCUGCCACACAGUUUUAUCUGGGUAACUACCGUUCUGCUCUCAGUGAUGUGAUUGCAGCAAGAAAGCUAAAACCCAACCAUCUCAAAGCAAUAAUAAGAGGAGCUUUGUGUCAUUUGGAAUUAAAGAAUUUCCCUGAAGCAAUGGCAUGGUGUGAGGAGGGUCUGAGGAUAGAUUCGAAGGAAAAGAAACUUGUGGAAACGAGAGCCAAAGCUGACAGAUUAAAGCGAGCUGAACAGCGGGAUGUAAGGAAAGCAAAACUGAAGGAGAAGAAGGAACAGUCUCAAAAGGAAGUCUUACUCACUGCUAUAAAGGAAAGGAAUAUCAAGCUGUUUCUAGAGGCCUGUAAGGAGGAAGAUGAAAUAUCAGAUGGUCUGGCUGAGAUGUCUUUAAAUGGACUGAAUUCUGACAGUGCUACGGGCACAAAGGUCUACUUAGAUGAUAAUGGCAAUCUAAACUGGCCUGUGCUCUUCCUGUAUCCCGAAUAUGGGCAAACGGAUUUCAUCUCAGCUUUUCACGAGGACUGCAGAUUUAUUGAUCAUAUACUGGUGAUGUUUGCUGAGUUACCUCCUUGGGAUUCGGAAAGAAAAUAUCAUCCCAGCAACCUAGAGCUGUAUUUUGAAGAUGAAGCAAGAGAAGAAAUGUACCAGCUGAACACAGAAAACACACUGCUACAAGUGCUGCAGCACCAAAGGUACUUCGUAAAGGCUGGGACACCUACUUUUUUGGUUUUAGUAAAGCUUUCUCCUUUCUCUAAGAAUUACUUUUUUGGCAAGAAGGUGCAUCGACUAAAAUGAGCAAGUGCAAGCACAAAGGGACGAGAGAAACCCUUGCUGUGGGCUGUAUUGUUCAUAUCCACAGUUCUUGCACAUGUAGAACUCCCCUUGGAACAAAGUCACCGAGUUCUGAGUGGAUACGGACUGAAGCUUGGUCCCCACCCCCACCCCC